rnacentral:tRNA from 1 species
ACGGGGUAGAGCGGUAGCUCACAAGGCUCAUAACCUUGAGGUCACAGGUUCAAAUCCUGUCCCCGUA